rnacentral:tRNA from 1 species
GCCUGGCUGGCUCAGUUGGUAGAGCAUGUCACUCUUGAUGUCGGGGUGGUGAGUUCAAGCCCCGUGUUGGGCA